rnacentral:rRNA from 1 species
GACGAGGGAUCCUAGCGUUGCUCGGAAUCAUUGGGCGUAAAGAGGGCGUAGGUGGCUUGGUAAGUCAGGUGUGAAAGCCCAGGGCUCAACCCUGGAAGUGCAUUUGAUACUGCUGAGCUUGAGUGUUGGAGAGGUCAUCGGAAUACCUGGUGUAGUAGUGAAAUACGUAGAUAUCAGGUGGAACACCGGAGGCGAAGGCGGGUGACU